UUAAUCGUAAGCUUCUUAGAACAUUAUGUAUCAUCACUAAGCAUCUAUCUACCAGCAAUAAAUACUUAUUUUCAUAUGUUUCAAUAUGUGCCCGAAUAAUAUUAAUGUACAUUUUUUCAAUACAUGGCUUACUCUCGGCCUUUGCGCCAUUGGCGCAACUGGUCAUCUAGUUGAACAUAUAAAGGAUGAGGGAAUGCGGCCAACUAGCGGCUGUGGCCACGUCUCCUUUUUUUCGCGGGUUACUGUAGCAGCGCUUGGAGAGAUGAGUCCCGAGCGCCCCCAUCUUCCCUCCUCUCUCUUUUCCACUUCCCCCUCGCCUCCGCCUCCGCCAUCGCCUCCUCCCCUCUCCUUCCUCUCUCCCGUCUCCUCCCUCUCAACCCUAGCCGUCACCACCCAGUACCCACCCUCUACUGCUCCACCGCGCACCCACCUCCCCUUGGAUCAGGUGCAGGCCGGCCGGUGCGCGCAGGCGGCGGCGCUCCACUCGAGGGCAAAGGAAGGCAACGGCGGCGGUGGCCGCCGUGGACACCCGCGGCUAUGACGAACCCCGCUGCUAGGAGGCCACCAUGGAGGCCCGUCCCGAGCUCGGCUCGCCGCUCCUCCGGUGACCCUCGUUGUGCCUGGAUCCGGGUCGGGCGGAUCCGACGAUUCCCCGACGCGCAGGCGGGCCGGCACGCGGCCCUAGGCGGAGGAGCCCUCCCAUGGCGCCGACGGCUCUGGAGAUGAGGGCUGCACAGAGGAAGAGGAGCACCAGCAGCUCGAGUGCAGGCCCGCCGGUGCGCGCAGGCGGCAGCGCUCCACUCGAGGGCAAAGGGAGGCAACGGCGGCGGUGGCCGCCGUGGACACCCGCGGCUAUGACGAACCCCGCUGCUAGGAGGCCACCAUGGAGGCCCGUCCCGAGCUUGGCUCGCCGCUCCUCCGGUGACCCUCGUUGUGCCUGGAUCCGGGUCAGGCGGAUCCGACGAUUCCCCGACGCGCAGGCGGGCCGGCACGCGGCCCUAGGCGGAGGAGCCCUCCCAUGGCGCCGACGGCUCUGGAGAUGAGGGCUGCACAGAGGAAGAGGAGCACCAGCAGCUCGAGGUCUAUAACGGGAUCUUGAGGAAAUCAGAUAAUGCAUUUUGGUUGUAUCAACUAUACUGAAUCUGCAAAGCCUUUUUUGUGUGCAGAGAAAUUCACCCUCUGCAUUAGUUGCAAAAGAUGCUGAUUUUGAUCAUAACAAUUAUAGUUGUUCAAGCAGUAGCAGAUUUGGCAACCUCACAGUCAUCUCAUUCAGAAUUCACGUCCUAUCCUCAACGGAGCUUAAGAUGCUGAUUUUGAUCAUAACAAUUAUAGUUGUUCAAGCAGUAGCAGAUUUGGCAACCUCACAGUCAUCUCAUUCAGAAUUCGCGUCCUAUCCUUAACGGUUAGCUUAUUAACGCGUUGUGGGCACUUCAUUUGGCAUCGUCUUUCAGGCUAAAUUCUUGGAAACUGGGGAGACGGUGGCCAUUAAGAAGGUACUGCAGGACCGACGGUCCAAGAACCGGGAGCUGCAGCUUAUGCAUUUGAUUAACCAUUCCAAUGUUGUUCUCCCUCAAGCACUGCUUCUUCUCAACCACAAGUAGAGAUGAGCUGUUUCUGAACCUUGUCAUGGAGUAUGUCCUGGAGACACUCUACCGUAUGCUUAAGAACUACAGUAAUGCCAAACAGGGGAUGCCACUUAUC